rnacentral:rRNA from 1 species
AGAAUCAACGCUGGCGGCGUGCCUAACACAUGCAAGUCGCACGAGAAAGGGGAGCAAUCCCUGAGUACAGUGGCGCACGGGUGAGUAACACGUGAAUGAUCUACCUCCGAGUGGGGAAUAACUGAGAGAAAUCUUGGCUAAUACCGCAGUAAUACCCACGGGUCAAAGCAGCAAUGCGCUUGGAGAGGAGUUCGCGGCCGAUUAGCUAGUUGGCGGGGUAAUGGCCCACCAAGGCGAUGAUCGGUA